GAUGAACGCUAGCGGCAGGCCUAAUACAUGCAAGUCGAACGAUGUCUUCGGACAUAGUGGCGCACGGGUGCGUAACACGUAUGCAACCUACCUUACAUUGGGGGAUAGCCUUUCGAAAGGGAGAUUAAUACCGCAUAAGACAGUAGCUGGGCAUCCAGCAGCUGUUAAAGAUUUAUCGAUGUAAGCUGGGCAUGCGUCCAAUUAGCUAGUUGGUGAGGUAACGGCUCACCAAGGCAAUGAUUGGUAGGGGAACUGAGAGGUCAAUCCCCCACACUGGCACUGAGAUACGGGCCAGACUCCUACGGGAGGCAGCAGUAGGGAAUAUUGGGCAAUGGACGCAGUCUGACCCAGCCAUGCCGCGUGCAGGAUGAAGGCGUUAUGCGUUGUAAACUGCUUUUAUACAGGAAGAAACGACUCUUGCGAGAGGCAUUGACGGUACUGUAUGAAUAAGCACCGGCUAACUCCGUGCCAGCAGCCGCCGUAAGAC
rnacentral:rRNA from 1 species